UCUACUCAUCUCUGCCUUAUUGACAUAUAUGGAGAAAAUUUGAAGUGUAUAAGUUUGCCACAAUAAACAUGGUCUAAAAAAGAUGAUUUCGGCCAAUUUUGCAGUGGCGGUGAUAACAGUGGUCAUUAGAGGUUUGCUGGAUAGGAUUAUAGUUGCCACUCAAGCACCCCUUACUACAAGUCAGAUUGUACCCCCGUCCACUGGACUUAUUAUUAUUUCCGGUACUCUGUACUAUUUAUACAAUCGUUUAGUCAAAAACAAAAAAAUUCAAGUCAGUUAUACAAAUUUCAAUAACCGGAAGUCGAAGAUUUUGGAUGGACGAAUUCAUAAAAAUGACUCGCAGUCUUCCUCUUUGUGUAAUUUUAAAGACCACAGAUGGUUGUCUUCGCGAAAAUUUCGCUCGCACCGCUCAAGAAGUAGAUGCCGAAGCAAUUUAUUAGCGGCAACGAAGGAUUCCUUAGAUUUGCUUCAUAAUAAUCAACGUUCGUCCACUUGUUCGUUUUCUUCGAAAAGUGGUUCGACGAUAAAAUGUCGGUGUAACAAGGACACAAGUGUGGAACGAACAAUUACAAAAGAGGGCACCCCAAGUGUUUACAGCCUUAAAUCAGAUGGUGAUAACCUAUCAGACCAAAUGGACAGCAAAAAAGAUGAACAAGACCAAUUUAAGGGCUAUGGUGAUUGUGAUUGGCAGGACCGAAAUAUUAAAAGUGGCAAACGACGCAAAAAAAUCCGAACAACCCGGAAAACAAGAAGCGGCAAAAUUUACUCCUCGUAUUUAUAAAAAAAUGGUGGAAAUAAAUUUUUCGAGUUGA